AGCCUGACUGCUAUGUUCAAAUUACAUUUGUUCAAAGCAGUCGUUUAAUUGCACUAUAGGCUCUUUUUUUGUAUCGUCCUGUUUUGAUCAGUGUAUAUGCCAAUGUUGUUAUCAAUAAAAAAUAAUUCGCACAAGGCAAGCCGAUGCACUUCACCAUGUUGAUAAGAUAAUUAAAAUGAGAAGAAUUAUGGGACAAAAAAUCAAGGGAUAUUUAGCAUAGAAAAAUAAUUUGCGAUUAAUCGCGAUUAAUUAGAGUUAACUAUGACAUUAAUGCGAUUAUUCACGAUUAAAUAUUUUAAUCGCUUGACAGCUCUAAUUAUUACACUAAUGUCCAUGUUGCAAUGUAUUUUGAAUGUUGUAUCUCCCUUGUGAGUCGCUUUGGAUAAAAGCGUCUGUUGAAUGACUAAGGCCCAAUCCCAUUUCUACCCCUUACCCCCUUACCCUUACCCCUCCCCCUUGUUUUGAAGGGGUAAGGGGGAGGGGGAAGGGGAGGGGGUAAGGGGUAGAAAUGGGAUUGGGCCUUAAUGUAAAUGCAAGUUGUUUUAACAUUCUUUUUUUUCGUUUUCAUUAAUACCUUUUUCUUGCCAGGGUGGAGAUGUAAUGCUCUGCACACGCAAAUGUACAUGCUAGAGGGGUUGUCCAGAUGGAACAUCAAUCGGGCCCAGCAGGCUCUGAAUAUGAGUGUCACGUCACAAACUCGAAUUUAUGAUGUUCGUCUGAUGUCCAGUGUGAACGCCCUCAGCAACAGAGUCCUGGGAAGUGCACUUCUUCAAGAGUUUACACCCCCGGGUAAACCUACCGGUGAGCUUAUUGCGGUGGAGUAUUUGCUGGCCCAGUCCAACAGAGGAGAUCUGCUGAGUGCGCCUGACGCAAUUGGCGCCAACCUGCCAGAGGGGCCGGAGGAAGUUCAGGAGGAUGAGUUUCCUGAUGAGACAAUACCUCAGGCCACUGAUAUUCUUUUCCCGUCUUCUUCUCCGGAACCUACGGCUGAAAGUGAAGGUGCAUCUCGGAGUCCUGUCAGCUCCCCAUUUGAGGACAGUGGGCCUAUCACUUCAACUCCGGAUAGUCGGUGUGAUCCCAGAGGCAUUCCCGGAUGGGAGGCAGUCGAUGCCUUGGCAGGGUACCUUGUCAGCCUCAACCGGACGAUAACUGCUCUUUCGAACCAAGAAAUAGCAGAUAUACUGAGGUUGUACUCCAGCCUGGAUGGAAUCGACAAGUCGGAAACGCAGUGGCUCUGCUCCAGGCCAACAAGCAGCCGAGAGAUUGUUCAUGGUUCAUGGCCAGGCUGCCCAUAGACCCGAUUACACCAGGGUCUCUGAGUGUGUUGCACUGAAGCUUUUCAAGGAGUUCAAGGAAGACAGAAAUAGACCAAACGACCCUAAGGGGAGGACAUUUCCAAUUCCUCAGGCUAUUGUUAUGACGUAUGGUCAUAUUAAACAAUUAAUUGAGGAUUGCCAACAAAUCCUGCAAAGCACCAACCUGGUACUGGUGACCAUAAAUAAUACAACAGUCUCUUCUUGGCUGCAGGAUCGGCAGAAGAGGGCUGACCGCGAUUCUCUGCUUCAAGGGGUGGAGCUUCCUCAGCAGGUCCACGUGGCCGAGGAAUCCCUCCUGGAGGCCCUGGACCUACCAUCUGAGCCUGUUCCACAUGGGCAUGCAGAUCUGGAGUUCGAGGAACCUGACAACCGUGAGGGUGAGGCGGUGAUUCGGCGACGCCGACGCAAAACUCAGGUUUCCAGCGAAGACGCUGGAGGAGAUGAUGCUUGGACUGUUCCUUUCC
ensembl:lncRNA